rnacentral:rRNA from 1 species
GCAAUGCCGCGUGCAGGAUGAAGGCCUUCGGGUUGUAAACUGCUUUUGUACGGAACGAAACGGUGAGCUCUAAUAAAGUUUGCUAAUGACGGUACCGUAAGAAUAAGCACCGGCUAACUACGUGCCAGCAGCCGCGGUAAUACGUAGGGUGCGAGCGUUAAUCGGAAUUACUGGGCGUAAAGCGUGCGCAGGCGGUUAUAUAAGACAGAUGUGAAAUCCCCGGGCUCAACCUGGGACCUGCAUUUGUGACUGUAUAGCUAGAGUACGGUAGAGGGGGAUGGAAUUCCGCGUGUAGCAGUGAAAUGCGUAGAUAUGCGGAGGAACACCGAUGGCGAAGGCAAUCCCCUGGACCUGUACUGACGCUCAUGCACGAAAGCGUGGGGAGCAAACAGGAUUAGAUACCCUGGUAGUCCACGCCCUAAACGAUGUCAACUGGUUGUUGGGUCUUCACUGACUCAGUAACGAAGCUAACG